AAAAACAUCAGAUUGAAAGCUAUGAGUCAAGCCGCAAAGUCAUUAAAGCUGAGAAGAUUUUGAAGGAUUCAAGAAGACUUCGAAGAUCAAGAUUAUAAUUCUUGAGUUUUAUCUUUUUGAUUAUUCUUUUAUUUUCUUAGUUUGUUUUUAAUGUUUAAUCUUUAUUCAAUGAUGAUGUGUGACUUGAUAGGGAACUAAAUUGUUUAUCUAAGAUUAUGAUUGAACUCAAU
rnacentral:lncRNA from 1 species